CAAGAAAAUCUUUGGAACAGUGCUGUCUGGAGCACUGGACUGGGGAGGGCCAGGUGAAUCUCUGUGUUUGAGGAGCUGAGAGGCAGCAAUCUGGGUGGAAAGAAGGUUCAGAGACUUGUUUGGAAGCUGCCUUUGCAGGGUAUACUUAAGGCCAACAAGAAGGAACACAUAAUCUGGUCUCAGGAAACAUUUUGCAUCAUCUGGUAAAGACUUCUGCCUCAUCAGAUUACAGACUACAGGUGAAGCCUUGAAGAGAGCUCCAAGGAGCUGCAUGGGCACAAGGCAGUGUCCUCACAGUGAGCUAGGAAGAGGCUUGCACUGUCACUGCCAGCCACUUUGUGCAUCAGGGAAGGCCUGAGCGUAAUACUUGAGCAGCCAUUGCUGUCUCCUCCAGGGAGAGGAAUCAUCCUCCUCACAGACGGCUGAAGAUCUUAUGAAGCUGAACCUCCCAACAAAUCCUCAUAUUUUGAUACAAAUAAGAAUAUGAUCGUCAAUAUUCAUGCAAUGUUUUAAACCUUAUGUAGCAAUUUUGCACAUUCUUGUACUCUUUCAGAAAUAGUGUGGGUUGUGAUGAUA